rnacentral:rRNA from 1 species
GACAGAGGGUGCAAACGUUGUUCGGAAUUACUGGGCGUAAAGCGCGUGUAGGCGGCCAUGCAAGUCGGAUGUGAAAGCCCUCGGCUCAACCGGGGAAGUGCACUCGAAACUGCAAGGCUAGAGUCUCGGAGAGGAUCGUGGAAUUCUCGGUGUAGAGGUGAAAUUCGUAGAUAUCGAGAGGAACACCGGUGGCGAAGGCGGCUCACUGGACUGGUAUUGACGCUGAGGUGCGAAAGCGUGGGGAGCAAACAGG